rnacentral:lncRNA from 1 species
UCCAUGGCAUCAUGAUCCAUCACUUGAGUCAUUCUCGAUUUUCCAAAAACACCCAGGUACUGCAAAAUCCAGCAGGACCAUAAGAGGCCUACAACACUUAAACAUACUCAUAUAUUAGUUAGUACUUAGUACUACUACAACACUACAUGAUAAAUAUGGGUAAAUAAGGGAACAGAUCAGGGGCAUUUUGGUCCUCCUUCCUUGGUCUUCCAGUUGUUGUAGCAUGGGCAGACGGCUUUAUUACCAUAAUACCCUGGGGGAACGCACAGGCACUUUUUGCAGCAUUUCUGACAGAAGAACAUGCAAGGUUUGUGGUACUGUGUCUUGCCGCACCUCCUCGAGCACUGUGACGGGCAUUCUGGUCAUUUCGCACCACAACAAUACAAAAGCUGCAUCAUUAUCAUUUGGCUUUUUGACAAAAAAAGAAUUAAAAGAAAAGGAAAGAAAAACUGGUUCUGUUUUUACCCCUUUUUAUUUUUGGGGGGGUUUUCGAUGACGGUUGAGUCUUGACCACGGUCAAAUCGUUUUGACUGUGGUAAUUAGAGCAUUUAUUCAAGGGCAUAAUGGGGCUACAAUUAGGUGGAAAUUUUUGGAGGUUACGACAUCCGUGAUUGGAGGGCGGUUUCGCGGGUGACAAAAAAUGCAAGAAAUCAUGCGCACCACGGCGCAUGUUAGCUUUUGGAAAUAUCAUUUCGCACCACAUGAAAAGAAAAGAAAAGAAAAGAAAAUUGGGUUAACGACUGAGAAAUGCAAGGGUGCAUAUUAGCCUCUGCAAAUUCAAUUUCUUGCUCACUUGCAUUUUACGCCUUUUUUUUCUUGUUUUUUUUUUUCCUAUGUCUUUCACAUUUUCUGUUCCGAGAAAAUGAGAAGGAAAAAUGAGUUAGCGAGUUAUGGCACAUUUUGGCCUCCACAAAUAUAAUUUCAUAUUUAAUUCGUUCAAUUCGUGCUGUUGUUUGUUUUUUUUCCUGAGAAAAAUAACGAAACGGAAAUGAAAAGAAAGGCGAUAGAAACAAAGUUCGGAACUCACGGAA